UACGGGGGGGGGCAAGCGUUGUUCGGAAUUACUGGGCGUAAAGGGUUCGUAGGUGGCCUGCUAAGUCGGACGUGAAAUCCCUCGGCUCAACCGGGGAACUGCGUCCGAUACUGGUGGGCUUGAGUGCAGGAGAGGAACGCGGAAUUCCAGGUGUAGCGGUGAAAUGCGUAGAUAUCUGGAGGAACACCGGUGGCGAAGGCGGCAUCCUGGACCAACACUGACGCUGAUGAGCGAAAGCCAGGGGAGCAAACGGG
rnacentral:rRNA from 1 species